UACGUAGGGGGCGAGCGUUGUCCGGAUUUAUUGGGCGUAAAGAGCGUGUAGGCGGCCAGGUAGGUCUGCUGUGAAAACUCGAGGCUCAACCUCGAGAUGUCGGCGGAAACCAUCUGGCUAGAGUCCGGAAGAGGAGAGUGGAAUUCCUGGUGUAGCGGUGAAAUGCGCAGAUAUCAGGAAGAACACCUAUGGCGAAGGCAGCUCUCUGGGACGGUACUGACGCUGAGACGCGAAAGCGUGGGGAGCGAACAGG
rnacentral:rRNA from 1 species